AGAGAGAGACAUGCGUGCAUAUCAAUAAGCGGAGGAAAAGAAACUAACUAGGAUUCCCUCAGUAACGGCGAGUGAAGCGGGAAGAGCUCAAAUUUGAAAUCUUCAAGGUUCUACCUUGACGAAUUGUAGUUUAAAGAAGUGUUUUCUGUUGGAGUUUUGGUAAAAGUUCUUUGGAAUAGGACAUCAUAGAGGGUGAGAAUCCCGUAUUUGACCAUUAUUUCCAGCUUUGUGAUACACUUUCAAAGAGUCGGAUUGUUUGGGAAUGCAGUCCAAAAUGGGUGGUAAAUUUCAUCUAAAGCUAAAUAUUGGCGAGAGACCGAUAGCGAACAAGUACCGUGAGGGAAAGAUGAAAAGAGCUUUGAAAAGAGAGUUAAACAGUACGUGAAAUUGUCAAAAGGGAAGCGUUUGACACCAGUGUUGUUUUCUCGAAAAUCAAUUAAAAAAGGCAGGAUUUUGUGUUGUAUUGACUUUAUCAGCUUUCUGCGCUCUUUCCUUGUCUUUUUUAAUGCACUUUUCGUUUAACAAGUCAACAUCAAUUUCUUUUGUUGUAAAAGGGUCAUUGGAAGGUGGCUUUCUUUUCGGAGAAAGUGUUUAUAGCCUUUGGCCUCUGCAAUCGGAGAGAUUGAGGUCUGCAGCGUAGAUCCUUCGGGGUUAGAUACAUUUGUGCUAAGUUAUAGCCUUUCAUAGACAACUUGUUGACUAUGAUCAGUCAUGUAGCUUACUCGCUUAUGCUAUUUUACCUACGCUUAGGAUGUUGAUGUGAUACUGCGAGCA
rnacentral:rRNA from 1 species